rnacentral:lncRNA from 1 species
UGAGUCAGUGGAGGCGGUGGUGCGACGGAGACGACGGCGGAGAGACGAAUUCCAGAGGGGAAGAAGGGAGGUAGAAACCCUAGGAAUUAGAUUUUAUGAUUUGGGGAUUUAGAUAUAGGGAAGAAAUGGAAGGGAAGGAAGGGGGAAGAGAAGGGGCCGGCCUCGCCGCGCCGGAGGCGGCGAGAACCAGCGACGACCGCCGGAGAAGGAGGGAGAGAGAGAGAGGCGAUAGGGAGGAGCGAUAGAGAGAGAGAACAGAGAGAGAAAGAAAGAGUAUGCGUGUGAGAGGAAGGGGAAGAAUUAUUAAUCUGAUUCUUAUUUUGGUGUUAUAAAAUCUGAAUUAUUAAUUUAUUAAAUCUGAAUUAUUAAUUGGGCUUGAACUAUAUUUGGACCAGCUAAUUCUGAUGGACCUGAUAGUUUAUUUAAUGGGCUUAAUUUGAAUUAAAUUAAUGUUGGGCUUUGAGUUAAUUAACCUAAUAAUUAGAUUGAUUUUCACAUAUUAUAUAUAUGUAUAUAUUAUAGGCAGUAUGGUUUAUGAU